CGGGCGAUGGACACAUUACUGACACUAGGCAGAUACCUCAAGGAGGACCCCAUGGAGAUGAAACACACAGAAAUGUCGAACUCUGGAACCCUGGAGGAAAGUUCUGCAGUUCUAGAAGCAGAACCUCAUCUUGAUCCAUCUGAGAUCAGAGGGGGAUGCAGUUUUUCCUCCCUCACAGUGCAGAGAGGGAGCAUACCUAAGUGGACGGGAUAUGAUCGGAAAACUUUAGAAUCCAACCCAAAAGUUUUCCUCUUCCAAAUGACCGUGAGUAUAACGUUUAUUUCUUCAAUCUGGUCAGUCACACAGAAAUGCUUAGGGCCUGUGUCACGGAACCACAUUAAGCCUUAUUCCAUGUUUAAAAGCCAUUUCCAUUGA
rnacentral:lncRNA from 1 species